rnacentral:lncRNA from 1 species
GACUGCAUUAAAUGAAACAUCUGACAACUUUACCAUUUACCAUAUUCACUCAUAAAGCUCUAAGUAUUACAGUCUUGGACAUUCAUUGUAAAGGCCUGGUCAUUUUCAACUGGAGAGACUUUGUUCAAUUAAAACUUUACUAUAAUGUAUUGUAUCUAUUCAAGUAGGUAGGGUGAAGGAUGCUUGUGAGUUUAAGAUGAAAUAAAAGUUUUUUUAUUGUGGACUGAAGUUUCAAAACAGUUAUUUUGGGCCGGGACACAACAUAAGCGUCAAGCUACUGUCCUCCAAUACAAAACUUGACAUGAUUAUAUAUAUUGAGGGAUGCCAUCCAUCCCUGACAGAUUUUUUUGCUAAGGCUAAGACUGGCCACUCUCUCUGUUUUUCUGUCACAUACACAGGGCUAUAAAAACACAAACAACUAAUACAGCUCACUGAUACAGAUGUGUUCAAAUAAUGAGACAAAAUCUCCUCUAUUUCCACAGGUCUGGACUCCACCUGUGAUGCUACUCAGGAUGCUGCAUGUUAUGGGGCUCUGGGAGGACCUGUGUAUCUGCAGCUGAUGAGGAACACCAGUGGGCAUACACUGAGCUUUCAUAAUGAACGUAAAGCCAUUUUUACACUCAGACCAUCCAAGACAGUGUUCUACAAGGACUACAACACCCCAUCAUUCCUUCAGAGGUGGCAGUUUGUUCCUGAUAACGGGACCCUGAUUAUAAACCCUGCAGAGAGGAAAGAUGCAGGAACAUACAGAGUGAGGAUCUUUAACAAGUCAACAGGGAAGAGUGUGGGAGAGCACACAGUACAGCUGAUCAUUGAAGCCCCUGUGUCUGAUGUGGACCUGUCAAUCAGCUGCUCAGCCAAUGAGGAGUGGAGGGUGAGGUGCUCCUCCAAUGGGGACAGUCCUCAGUACAGCUGGUACCUGGAUGGGAGGCCUCUGAGUGAAGCUGAUGCUGAUCUCAGUGCAGAUAUCCAGACUCUCCUGCUGAAUGGGAAUGUGACUGGAGAACUCACCUGCAGCGUCUCAAACCACGUCAACAGCACAAACACCUCAGUUCUGCUGCUGGACGUCUGCUCUGGUACACCAGACUUAUGGAACUCUUAUGCUGUC